rnacentral:lncRNA from 1 species
CUGGCACUUGAGAUUCCAGGUACCAACAUGCUUUUCAGAUGACACGUGUCCUUGCGCUAGUCGUAGCAAUACAAACAGACAUGGUAUAGACAGAAUUAACAUCACACCAAACAUAAGUAUAAACUAAAUAAUAAUGAUCUACGCGUAGCUACGAGAUCGUGGAAUCGAGAACCACUAAAAUCAGAGUUACGGUCAUCGAGUUAUGAUUUUAUGUAGUUAUUAAGUACCUAGAAUAUAGUAAUUCAUGUGAAUAAUUUUAAAUCAAGUUUCAUGGUUAGAUAAAGGUACUAGGUGAUAAACAAUACUUAAACAAAAUUAAUUCCACUGGAAUGAAUCAAUUUGGAGUAAUGGAUUUUAAGUUAUGAAUUUCUAAAGGUUUUAUGUGCUUAAAAUAGAAUUAAAUGAGAAAUUAUUUUUUUCUUACUGUUUUCAUGUCAAAACAGAGAUACUAGGUGAUAGACAAUAAUAUUACAAAAUUAUAGGAAUUGGAACGGAUUAAUUUGGGCUUAAUAUGAGUUUUCUAUGAAUUACCCAAGUUUUACAAUUAUUUUUAUACUCAAAAUCAAUUUCUAAAUCUAUUUUUCCGGUUUUAUUAAUUUCUGAACUGCGCCUCAAUUUAUAUAGAAGGUAGGGGCUAGUCUACAAAUAUUUCCUAGACUCAGGGAAAUAGGCCCGAGGACCGCAGGUUUAUUUCUAAUAGAAUCAGGGUUUCUUAAGCAAAAAGUCCCUACGAAGGGGUAUGGAGUGCCUGGGCCGUCCGAUUAGCCAUCGGUCGCCAGGAUCACACAGACGACGUGGUCAUGCGCGAUUACAUCGGAUCCGCAUAGCCAGGGAUCUACGGUCUGCGCAAAAUCACAUGAAACGGUGCACUGAAUCUGAUCAAGACCGUUCGCUCAACAUCCGACGGUCACCUGCGUUCUUCCCCCAGCAAGCUCCCAGACAGCCGCGCGCCUGCCCCUGCGGCGGUGCCAUGGCCGGCCCGCAACCGGUACCUUACCCGCCGAUCCAAUCCUCGAAGAGAACGCCGCUACACUAUGCAGAGGUGAAAGCGAAACAAUGGGGGAAAAACUUACCGGUAAUCGCACACGCAGGAGCUCUGCCCACAGAAUCAGGCGGACCCGCAACUACGUUGAGGAAUUCCCGGCGCGACGCAUGCUAAUCGAGCUCGGUGAGGCCACGAGCACCAUCCCGGUGACGAGCUGGAGCUCCCCAACCGGUUUUCAGGGACCCAGCACUGGUGACCACGUGAAUCACCCGCGGCG